rnacentral:tRNA from 1 species
CUUAGCUCAACGGUAGAGCAUCCGGCUGUUAACCGGAGGGUUGUAGGUUCGAAUCCUACAGG